UUACGGCCAUAUCACACUGAAACACCAGUUCUCGUACAAUUACUGAUGUUAAGCAAUGACAGGCCUGGUCAGUACUCAGAUGGGUGACCUCUUGGAAAUACCAGAUGUUGUAA